ACGUAGGGGUCUAGCGUUGUCCGGAAUUAUUGGGCGUAAAGAGCUCGUAGGCGGUUCGGCAAGUCGGAUGUGAAAUCUCCACGCUUAACGUGGAGGGGCCAUUCGAAACUGCCGUGACUCGAGUCCGGUAGGGGAGUUCGGAAUUCCCGGUGUAGCGGUGAAAUGCGCAGAUAUCGGGAGGAACACCAGUGGCGAAGGCGGAACUCUGGGCCGGAACUGACGCUGAGGAGCGAAAGCGUGGGGAGCGAACAGGAUUAGAUACCCUGGUAGUCCACGCCGUAAACGUUGGGCACUAGGUGUGGGGUUCUAUCGACGGAUUCCGUGCCGUAGCUAACGCAUUAAGUGCCCCGCCUGGGGAGUACGGCCGCAAGGCUA
rnacentral:rRNA from 1 species